rnacentral:rRNA from 1 species
UACGUAGGGGGCAAGCGUUGUCCGGAUUUAUUGGGCGUAAAGAGCGUGUAGGCGGCCUGGAAGGUCAGCUGUGAAAACUCGAGGCUCAACCUCGAGACGUCGGUUGAAACCACCUGGCUAGAGUCCGGAAGAGGAGAGUGGAAUUCCCGGUGUAGCGGUGAAAUGCGCAGAUAUCGGGAAGAACACCCGUGGCGAAGGCGGCUCUCUGGGACGGUACUGACGCUGAGACGCGAAAGCCAGGGGAGCGAACGGG